rnacentral:rRNA from 1 species
UACGAAGGGGGCUAGCGCUGUUCGGAAUUACUGGGCGUAAAGCGUGCGCAGGCGGCCUUCCAAGUCAGGGGUGAAAGCCCAGAGCUCAACUCUGGAAUUGCCUUUGAGACUGUGAGGCUUGAGUACGGGAGAGGUGAGUGGAAUUCCCAGUGUAGAGGUGAAAUUCGUAGAUAUUGGGAAGAACACCGGUGGCGAAGGCGGCUCACUGGCCCGAAACUGACGCUCAUGCACGACAGCGUGGGGAUCAAACAGG